rnacentral:rRNA from 1 species
GAUGAACGCUGGCGGCGUGCCUAACACAUGCAAGUCGAGCGAAAGGACGAAACACCUUCCUCUCUGAUGUUAGAGGCGGAGAGGGGUGUAAAACGUGGGUAACAUUCCUAUAUGAAUGGGGUUAACUAGGGAAAACGUUGGCAAAAACGGCUAAUAUUUUCAACAGCAUGGUUCAAAAGUGAAAGACGGUCUUGCUGUCACUUAUAGAUGGUUCCACUCUGGAUUAGCUAGUUGGUAAGGUAACGGCUUACCAAGGCAACGAUGCAUAGCCGAGCUGAGAGGAUGACCGGCCACACUGGAACUGAGACACGGUCCAGACUCCUACGGGAGGCAGCAGUGGGGAAUAUUCCGCAAUGGGCGAAAGCCUGACGGAGCAACGCCGCGUGUGUGAAGAAGGCCUUCGGAUCGUAAAGUUCUUUUAUUAGGGAGGAACAGAGUAGUGAGAAACUGUGCACAUCUUGACGUUACCUAAACAGAAAGCCACGGCUAACUACGUG